rnacentral:lncRNA from 1 species
UGGCUGGACAGCCUUCUGGAGGAUGAGAGGCACACGGAGCAGAGCCAAGUUUCUCCCGUCACCCCAUCCAAAUUCAACUACAUCAGCCAAGGUCAGCCAACAUCAGCCAGCAACGAUGGAACCCCCCAGACAUAAACUCUUUCCUUAACCACACACGGGGUGGAAAGAACGCCUUGUCCAGAAGCCGAAGGACACUGAGGCUCUAAACUCCUGCCGCGUGGGCUGCAGCAGGCCACUGCUCUUCUCUGACCCUCAGUUUCUUCAUCUGUAAAACUGGAACAUGAUGCCCCACUGGAAGGCUAUUGUGAGGGCUGGACGCGGCGAUGUAAAUCGAGGGUCAAGCGUGGAGCCGGCACAGAGUGGACACUAAAAUACACCAGGCUGUUUCAUUUGGCAAAAGGGGUUCAGUUCUGUCUUUUAAACUCAUGCACUCUUUUUGGCUUCUAAAUAUGCAGUGGGGCAGGAAGAGCAAUGAGUCUGGAAGCCAGAGAUUCUCGUGCAUCCAUUCUCUCCUCUGUCUCAGCUUUGCGUUGUACCUUGGGUGAGCCAUUGCACCUCCCUGACCCUCUGUGUCUUCAUCUACCAGAUAGAAAAAAUUAUGCUUACUCCUAAACCAUAAUGUUUGGCAAGACCCAGUGAACCUCACAAAGCACCCCCAAAAGGCAGGCAGGAUGAGGAGUUCUCCCUGUUGAGCUGUGUGAGCUGCCCAGAUUGAUAUGCCUAGAAGGCACCCCAUUUGGAAGUAAACACAGGCUCCAUUUAAGGAUGCACGGAAGGUUGGAACACUUUAUUCCUGAACACAUUUAUGUAAAAUUAAUUGCAUCACCUGUUCUCUGCAUCUUCUAAUUGCAAAACCAAUUAACUUUAAAAUGCUCAGCACAGUGUGGCCAAGGGAAGGG